AUUGAACGCUGGCGGCAGGCCUAACACAUGCAAGUCGAACGAGUGGCGGACGGGUGAGUAAUGUCUGGGCAACUGCCUGAUGGGGGGGGAUAACCACUGGAAACGGUCUAUUAUACCGCAUUCCCUCAGAUGUGCCUAUAUGGGAUGAGCGUGUUGGUGGGGUAACGGCUCAUCAAGGCGGCGAUCCCUAGCUGGUGUGAGAGGAUGACCAGCCAAACUGGAACUGAGACACGGCCCAGACUCCUACGGUGGGCAGCAGUGGGGAAUAUUGCACAAUGGGCGCAAGCCUGAUGCAGCCAUGCCGCGUGUAUGAAGAAGGCCUUCGGGUUGUAAAGUACUUUCAGCGGGGAGGCGUUACCGACAGAAGAAGCACCGGCUAACUCCGUGCCAGCAGCCGCGGUAAUAC
rnacentral:rRNA from 1 species